CCGUAAGCUUUCACGUUGGCCUCACACUUCUUACAAAUCGAUGAUGUAUUCGAUUUGCUAUAAGAAAAUACACUAUGUAAAUAUUUUACAUACGAUUCCAACAAGUGUCAUCAAUGAAAAUAUUAUUGUAUUUACAUGAAUAAUGUAUAAUUUCUACAUCUUACAACGCAAUUCAUAAGCACAUGCCCUGGCAGCUGACACUGACCUUGUCUGUUGAAACUCAGAACGGCAGUACGUGCACUUGACGACAGGGAAAGAUCCGCGACAUUCCUGAAAUAUCAGACAACAAACGCGUCACUUACUUACGUCAAAAUAACAGUAAAUUGUGACGCACCCGCGCAAACCCAGUUCCCAUCAGACUCAACUAUAAACAUAGUAAAUAAUUAACCGAUCAA